AACGAACGCUGGCGGCAUGCCUAACACAUGCAAGUCGAACGAGACCUUCGGGUCUAGUGGCGCACGGGUGCGUAACGCGUGGGAACCUGCCCUUAGGUUCGGAAUAACUCCCCGAAAGGGGUCCUAAUACCGGAUAAUGUCUUCGGACCAAAGAUUUAUCGCCUUUGGAUGGGCCCGCGUUGGAUUAGCUAGUUGGUAGGGUAAAAGCCUACCAAGGCUACGAUCCAUAGCUGGUCUGAGAGGAUGAUCAGCCACACUGGGACUGAGACACGGCCCAGACUCCUACGGGAGGCAGCAGUGGGGAAUAUUGGACAAUGGGCGAAAGCCUGAUCCAGCAAUGCCGCGUGAGUGAUGAAGGCCUUAGGGUUGUAAAGCUCUUUUACCCGGGAUGAUAAUGACAGUACCGGGAGAAUAAGCUCCGGCUAACUCCGUG
rnacentral:rRNA from 1 species